rnacentral:misc_RNA from 1 species
UUUCCGUAGGUGAACCUGCGGAGGGAUCAUUCAUAAUAAAGUGUUUUAUGGCACUUUUUAAAAAUCCAUAUCCACCUUGUGUGCAAUGUUAGAUCUCGUCAAUCUUGGCGAGAUUUUUAUACAUCAACUCAUUCUUUAACUAAUUUGUCUGAAAAAUAUUAUGAAUACUUAAUUCAAAGUACAACUUUCAACAACGGAUCUCUUGGCUCUC